rnacentral:rRNA from 1 species
CACGUAGGCACCAAGCGUUGUCCGGAUUUAUUGGGCGUAAAGAGCGUGUAGGCGGUUAGGUAGGUCUGCUGUGAAAACUCCAGGCUCAACCUGGAGACGUCGGUGGAAACCAUCUAACUAGAGUCCGGAAGAGGAGAGUGGAAUUCCUGGUGUAGCGGUGAAAUGCGCAGAUAUCAGGAAGAACACCGAUGGCGAAGGCAGGUCUCUGGGCUGACACUGACGCUCAUGCACGAAAGCGUGGGGAGCAAACAGG